UCUGAUCUUCCGGGUAGCUGUCCAGGCGGGACAGUCUACGAUGUCCGUUGUAGUGCGCCGUGGGAGGGCAGCCCUUGAGGAGCGCAGUUCCUGACCGGGCGGGAGAGGCACAGUCGUUGGACAGGUUGGACAAGAUGAGCCGCAGAAAUGUUCUGAGCGUGACCACGAAAAGCAAUAUCCUCACUUCACUACUUAGGCUGAAAUCCCCGUCGCCCAGCCGUAGCUGGAUGCCUAAUUGCCUUCGGGAGACGACCCAGGCAAGGAGCUCGGGAAAUAACCGCAACAUUAAAGGGCUCUGUUACUUCUUAAUUAAACCGCUCUAUGUGAUUAGAAGCUGACUGACAAACUGUGUACCUUUCAACAUCCUUGAAACUCUAACGACAGCUCCUGUCAAGAGCACACGUGCUUGCUUUUCCUCCGA